CUCAAUGAUCCAUCCAUCAGUGGCAUUUUAUGUAAGCUAAAACAGUUAGAGAAUGGAGGUAUAUCGGUUGCCUUGUUGGAAGUCACUGGGGGUAAAGGAGCAGUUCAAGUUAAUGGUAAGCUUCUACAAAAACCUGGCAUGAUAGUGAUUAAUGGAGGAGAUGAAGUAGUAUUCAGUUCUUCUGGCAAACAUGCUUAUAUUUUUCAGCAGCUCACUAAUGAUAGCUUAAGUGCUCCAGACAUGCCUUCAGAAAAUAUCUUAGAAGCUCAAGGUGCCCCC
rnacentral:misc_RNA from 1 species